rnacentral:rRNA from 1 species
AUUGAACGCUGGCGGAAUGCUUUACACAUGCAAGUCGAACGGCAGCACGGACUUCGGUCUGGUGGCGAGUGGCGAACGGGUGAGUAAUGUAUCGGAACGUGCCCAGUCGUGGGGGAUAACGUAGUGAAAAUUACGCUAAUACCGCAUACGAUCUAUGGAUGAAAGCGGGGGAUCGCAAGACCUCGCGCGAUUGGAGCGGCCGAUAUCAGAUUAGGUAGUUGGUGGGGUAAAGGCCCACCAAGCCAACGACCUGUAGCUGGUCUGAGAGGACGACCAACCACACUGGAACUGGGACACGGUCCAGACUCCUACGGGAGGCAGCAGUGGGGAAUUUUGGACAAUGGGCGAAAGCCUGAUCCAGCCAUUCCGCGUGCAGGAUGAAGGCCCUCGGGUUGUAAACUGCUUUUGUACAGAACGGAAAGGUUUCUACUAAUACUAGGAGCUCAUGACGGUACCGUAAGAGUAAGCACCGGCUAACUACGUGCCAGCCGCCGCGGUAA